rnacentral:rRNA from 1 species
UGGCGGACGGGUGAGUAAUGUCUGGGAAACUGCCCGAUGAGGGGGAGUAACUACUGGAAACGGUAGCUAAUACCGCAUAACGUCGCAAGACCAAAGAGGGGGACCUUCGGGCCUCUUGCCAUCGGAUGUGCCCAGAUGGGAUUAGCUAGUAGGUGGGGUAAAGGCUCACCUAGGCGACGAUCCCUAGCUGGUCUGAGAGGAUGACCAGCCACACUGGAACUGAGACACGGUCCAG